GCUCCAGUGGCCCAGUGGUAAUGCUCUGGUCUGCUGUGCGGGCGACCCAGGCUCGAAUCCCGCCAUCAGCG